GGGGCUGUGGCUCAGUGAUAGAGCACUUGUCUAGCAUAUGUGAGGCACUGGGUUCGAUCCUCUGCAACCACA
rnacentral:tRNA from 1 species